CAAGCAGCGCCCGGCCGCGGCAGGCACAGGGCUGGCGCGCAUGCGCAGCGCACGGGUAUCUGCCCCGCAGCUCUUUUCAUUCCAGCAUCAUAACGAAUAAACACGCAGAUAGCCUUUUGCACUUCGUGCGAUAGAAGAAAAGAGAUGGGCUGUGCCUACGUCUAACGUAUCUCUGUCCGUCCAGCGCUGUCCUCCUCCCAGCCAUCCACCAGGACCCAGCUGGUUUUCCUGAAUCAAGAUGGCUCCCAAUUUUCCUGCUUCUCUUCCUAGGCAGCACCCCACUCUGGCACGGACUGUCUGAGACACUCUGAGGGAGGGAAGGUUGAUGUCUGUGAACUUAAACCGGCAGGACCCUUGCACAUGGAUGCCAGUGCCACCAUUUACUGCCAACGCGAUCCUGAGAAGUAAACCCAGUCAUUACCCGCAUCAGCGUGGCUUCCCAGCACGUCAAGAUUAAAACGGACCGGGAGACUUGCGCAAGACUGAGUCAGCCGAGCAAUUUGAACCAAUAAAUAUCAAAGUCGUGUCUAAGCAGAGAACAAUUCAUUUGAUACCACAUCUGUCAACAGGCCUGUGGAGGAUUUUCCUUCCUGGGGCUCCGCCCUGGCGGCCCUGCCUCCUUUCCUUCCCGGUGCCGUGGAGAAGCUGGACCGUGCUCCCCGGAGGACGGCGCCCGGCGCCCAGGACCGCGCCCGUGCCCAGCCUGGGGGCUUGGGCGGCCGGGCUGCCUGCCCUGCACCCGCUAUCAGGACGACCUGCUCAAGUGCCUCGGCUGGGCAAGCGCGCUCCGCAAUUAGCAAUUCUUUUUUAUUGGUUGAUGUGGGCUUCUGGCCAAGAGGAGUUGGGAUUGAAUCAAUAUUCCCUUUAUUAUGUCAUCGUAGGCAAAUGAAUUAUGAAAACAAAAGCUCAAUAUGAAGCUGCCAAUGCUAAUUACCGGGCAGGAAGCGGAGGCACAAUAAACAAAGGGCGCUCUGUCCUGGCGGGAGCAGAGCGCUGCCCGGUCGUCGCAGGCUCUGGGGGCUGCGGGGCCCACCUUUCUUUCUCCCUCAAGCCCUGGGAUCCAGAAGGAAGUUCGAAAGGAUCUGGCCUGGUCCCCAUGGGCCUAGCAAUCUUGGAUCCCUGUGUUUAAACCACACAAUCCAAUUCAAAGCAAGAAGCAUUUAUUGAGCGCCUACAGGGUACCAGGCUCUGUACUUUUCACAAACCACCACUACCACCUUUAUUUGUUGCUGUCUCCAGAGUCUGGUGAUGAAGAGGAUACGUCUUUAAAAUUAGAUCUACCUAGCUGCAGAUCUCCUCUCUGAACCUCAGUUUCCUCAUCUGUAAAAUGAAAAUAAUAAUAUGCACGUCACAGAGUCCCAAGAGGUUUAGCUGAGAAAAUACGUGUCUAAUAUGGCACGUACAAAGUAGAUACUCAGUAUAUGUUAGCUAUGCUCCUUCUCCUCCUUCCUGUUCUCCUCCUCCUCUUGCUCUUCUUCCUCCUCUUCCCUCUUCUUCCUCAUCUUAUCAUAAUCAUCACCAUCACCCUCCAGGGAGCUCCCUAGUACCCAGAGCAGGGCUCACUCACGCACUGUUAGUGCACUGUGCUAAUGAGAGAAAGGAGCCCAUGCCUGGCGACAUGGACAUGGUACAACACACUUCACAGCAGGGGCUUGUGCCCCAGAGCUGACAGGCUGACCAAGAGACAGACACAUGUCAAAGUAACUGUCAUGGGCUGUGGAGAGAAGAACAUGGCAGGUUGUAAUGGGGAGCACCAAGCUCAGUCCCUGCCUUGCUUCUGUCUCAGAGAACCAACUUGGAAGAAUCAAACUCGUCCCUUUGUGAGAAAGCCCUUGGCCUCUGCUUCAGUGGAGGAGUGGGGGCUCUGCAAGGCUGGUUGUUCUUUCCCUCAAGUUACAGGUGGUAGGAGGUGGGCUGGUCAGGGAGGAGUGUGGCUGGGGAGGGUGGAGUGGGUGGGACUGAACAGUCCCCGACCCCCAAAGCCCACGCUCUUUUUCAGUCUCUCUAGGAGCCUCCAGGGUUCACCCCCACACCUGGCAGUGUGCUGGGGGUCCAGCAAUGAGUGUCAGGUCAGUCUUUGCUAAGUGUAAAAGAAUAGUCAUUCUUAAAAGUCAUAACCAACUUUGAUGCCAUGACUAACAGCAUCCAGUUUCCCUUCACAUGGUCACAGGAGCCUCUGUGGUGGGGACCGUCACCUCAUUUUCUAAGGAAAAGCUGAGACUCUGAGAGAGAAAAGUCAGGAGCCCAGUCUGACACAGCUACUCGGGUCCAGAGCCUUUCCCAUCACUCCACACCUUCUGGAAGACAGAGGGAAGCCAGCCCUGCACCUCCUGGCCACGGGACAACUCCAGACGUCUGCAGCAUCCCAGCCCCCUGCUCAUUUAGGGAGAUGAGUGUUCCCCAGCUAUUUUUCAGGGACUCUUAUCCCCAUGGGCAGAUUAAUCAAGGUCUUAGUUGUCAGUUAAUUGGAAGCAAAUGGCUUUGACUUCCCAUUCAGUUCCUGGCAUGUGUGGCUCCAAGCCAUAGGAUCAGUCUCUGAUGUCUCACCUGCAAAACGGUAGCAAGACUAUGUGCCUAGACCGUCGUGAGCCCAGUGAGACAGAGCAGAAGGAAGGUCCCCAGACACAUCAGUGGACAUUAACAAGGCAAGCGCUGGUGUCCUGCUCCUGGCCCCGCCACGCCGUUUCAGCCAGGCCUCAGGCCUUGGCGUUUCCAAGAGAGAGCUGGCAGUUGACUAAGAGACUGUCUACAGACUGCAUUCAGGGAACUGCUUAUCUAGAGGCAUUCAAACGUGAGACACCAGGUAGGCCUGCCUGGUAGGGGAGGCACAUGGCCACGCCGUGGAAACAGAUGUGGUGAUUUCUUGCCUCUCAUGCAGCGUAUUCAUGUAAGUUCAGUUAAGUUUCCCCUAAGUAACUCACUGAUUUUCUUUUUUCUUUUUUGAGACAGAUUCUCACUCUGUUGCCAGGCUAGAGUGCCGUGGCAUC